CAAUAGCGUAUAUUAAAGUUGUUGCAGUUAAAAAGCUCGUAGUUGAACUUCUGGUCAAGCGUGACCUUGGCUUCGGUCGAGGCAGGCAUGGCCAUCCGUCAGAAAACCAGGGAGGGUCUUAAGUGAUCGCUCUGGGGAUCUGACACUUUACUUUGAAAAAAUUAGAGUGUUUCAGGCAGGCUAGGCCGGAAUACAUUAGCAUGGAAUAAUGGAAUAGGACUACGGUCUCGUUGUUGGUUUGAGGGACUGGAGUAAUGAUUAAUAGGGAUAGUUGGGGGCAUUAGUAUUUAAUUGUCAGAGGUGAAAUUCUCAGAUUUGUUAAAGACUAACUUAUGCGAAAGCAUUUGCCAAGGAUGUUUUCAUUAAUCAAGAACGAAAGUUAGGGGAUCAAAGACGAUCAGAUACC
rnacentral:rRNA from 1 species